rnacentral:rRNA from 1 species
UACAGAGGAGCCAAGCGUUGUCCGGAAUUACUGGGCGUAAAGAGCUCGUAGGUGGUUUGUCGCGUUGUUCGUGAAAACUCACAGCUUAACUGUGGGCGUGCGGGCGAUACGGGCAGACUGGAGUACUGCAGGGGAGACUGGAAUUCCUGGUGUAGCGGUGGAAUGCGCAGAUAUCAGGAGGAACACCGGUGGCGAAGGCGGUUCUCUGGGCAUUACCUGACGCUGAGGAGCGAAAGUGUGGGGAGCGAACAGG